rnacentral:rRNA from 1 species
CAGCCGCCACGGGAAUACGUAGGUGGCAAGCGUUGUCCGGAAUUAUUGGGCGUAAAGGGCUCGCAGGCGGUUUCUUAAGUCUGAUGUGAAAGCCCCCGGCUCAACCGGGGAGGGUCAUUGGAAACUGGGAAACUUGAGUGCAGAAGAGGAGAGUGGAAUUCCACGUGUAGCGGUGAAAUGCGUAGAGAUGUGGAGGAACACCAGUGGCGAAGGCGACUCUCUGGUCUGUAACUGACGCUGAGGAGCGAAAGCGUGGGGAGCGAACAGGAUUAGAUACCCCCGUAGUCCCUGUCUCUUAUAC